ACUAGAGGGAGAUUAUUUGUAAGAAAAAGUAAUUGUCAAUUAUUUUUAAAAUACAGUAUAUUCUAACCACACUUUUAUCCCCUUGACUAAUAUAGUCCUCAUGCUAAAAAGAACAGUACAAUGCUAUUAUUAAUCAAGAAGUCACUCGAACUUGCCGUGGCUAAAAUUAUUACUGUGGGUGCUUUUUUUGUCUCUGUUUUUCUGAAAUCAGGAAAUCAGUGCAUGUCUGCAUUGCAGCUGCUUCCUCCAGUGACUGUCAUAAAACAUGUACAUGUGCUUGUGAACAGGUUAUGACAAUUUGAAUCAGUUGAUAUUAGUUACUUAUAAGUCUUAUAAGUCUCAUCAAGGUUUUUAAACAUUCCGUCCAAAGAAGACUAAUGCAGACUUGAAAAAAUAGACAGUGUGUCUCCACUUCUAAAGCACGAAAUCAGAGCUACAUUCCAAAAAUAUGCGAAUUACCAAAAAAAGACCACAAACUUUGUCUAUUUAAAAGUGUGUAUUUAAUGUUUUUAAGACUGUUACGUUACAGUGUUUUGUUUCAUUGUAAGCUCUAUUGAACAGUAUUUCAAGGUAAUUCACUGAGCUUAUACGGAUCAGUCUGACCCUAGAUGAACAAUGCUUUUUAUUGGUUGUAGAUUAAUAAUCCAUACACAGCACUAGUUUUCUUACUUAAUUUUUCACAUCUCUUUCUCAGGAGUCGAAGAGUUACUGAGAGUUCAGUUCAUCUGUCUUCUCUCAAAUAAAGAGAGACUCCCUGCAAAUAUGUCUAAUCUUCCUUAGCUCUUUCAUAACCAUCACUUUUCCCUCUCUCUGUGGGACAUGAUACGUUCGCUCCGUCAGCUUGAGGCUUAUCGCUGUGUUUAAAGGGGUUCUGUGUUCUGUCACAGAGGCAGGAGGCCAUAAACACAUAUGAGCAUCUCCCUCAGUGUCAAGGCUUUCUGAGUUGUAAUUGGCUGAGAGCUGCACUGUCAGCUGAUUGGCCGGGCUGAGGAUGAAUGGCCACGCUGACAACCAAUGGGGCCAGAUGAGGGUGAGCCGGGUGAGAUAUGGGACGCCGCAUUCUUGAGCAUAAUCAAAUCUUUGGAGCUUUCACUGAUGGUGAGUGAAUCAGUUUGUAUCAAGAGUUCAUAUGCAAGAGGAACCAAGACACACCUCAAAAGAUUCAAACAAGUUUUUGCAGCAAGCUAAUAAAGUUUAUAUUGAAGAGGUUUUGGGAUGAAAGGUCACCAGCUGCCCUCUGCUCAGCCUCCCCUCACCGCUCCAUCUAGCGCUCCAACAGAAGUGCUGAAAAUAACCUGUGAUGGAUGCAAAUCUGAACAUUUCCCUCAUUCCCUCCUCCUUUCUUAGUCUACCUUUCUCUGCUCAUCAGACCAUCUCUCGUCAACUCUAUUAGUCCAGAUGAAGAUGGAUAUGGGCGGUCAGUUAUUUAUGGAUUAGGGGCGGAGCUCUGAACCACUCUUGCCAUUCUUUAAUGUCCCUAAAAGCUCUUGGGAAUGUUUCACAUUACCAUAAUUAUGUUCUUUUUCUUUUCUUUUUUUUCUUUUCUUACGGCUCCUUGAACUUUUUCUUUUUUGAUGUAUUAUAUAUAGGUAUGAUAUAGAGGUCCUGACUCUCUGUGGUCAUUAAAAAUCCCAGGACAUCCUGGCUAAAUUCGCCCAAUGGCCUCUGACCAUCAUGGCCUCGUAACAAUCCCCAUAUCCGCUGAUUGGCUUCAUCACUCUGUCUCCUCUCCAUCAGUAAACUGGUGUGUGGUAGGCGUUCUGGUGCACUAUGGCUGCCGUCGCAUCAUCCAGGUGGAUGCUGCACACUGGUGGUGGAUGAGGAUAUACCCUGACAAUGUA